GAUGAACGCUGGCGGCGUGCCUAACACAUGCAAGUCGAACGAAGCUUGACGGAUGAUUUCUUCGGAAUGAAACCAGAUAUGACUUAGUGGCGGACGGGUGAGUAACACGUGAGCAACCUGCCUUUCAGAGGGGGAUAACGGCGGGAAACGGUCGCUAAUACCGCAUGAUGUGUUCGGAUGGCAUCAUCUGAACAUCAAAGAUUUAUCGCUGAAAGAUGGGCUCGCGUCUGAUUAGAUAGUUGGUGGGGUAACGGCCUACCAAGUCUACGAUCAGUAGCCGGACUGCGAGGUUGAACGGCCACAUUGGGACUGAGAUACGACCCAGCCUCCUACGGGAGGCAGCAGUGGUGAAUAUUGCACAAUGGGGGAAACACUGAUGCAGCAACGCCGCGUGAAGGAUGACGGUUUUCGGAUUGUAAACUUCUUUUCUUAGUGACGAAGACAGUGACGGUAGCUAAGGAAUAAGCAUCGGCUAACUACGUG
rnacentral:rRNA from 1 species